rnacentral:rRNA from 1 species
AAAUUGAAGAGUUUGAUCAUGGCUCAGAUUGAACGCUGGCGGCAGGCCUAACACAUGCAAGUCGAGCGGUAGCACAGAGAGCUUGCUCUCGGGUGACGAGCGGCGGACGGGUGAGUAAUGUCUGGGAAACUGCCUGAUGGAGGGGGAUAACUACUGGAAACGGUAGCUAAUACCGCAUAACGUCGCAAGACCAAAGUGGGGGACCUUCGGGCCUCAUGCCAUCAGAUGUGCCCAGAUGGGAUUAGCUGGUAGGUGGGGUAACGGCUCACCUAGGCGACGAUCCCUAGCUGGUCUGAGAGGAUGACCAGCCACACUGGAACUGAGACACGGUCCAGACUCCUACGGGAGGCAGCAGUGGGGAAUAUUGCACAAUGGGCGCAAGCCUGAUGCAGCCAUGCCGCGUGUGUGAAGAAGGCCUUCGGGUUGUAAAGCACUUUCAGCGGGGAGGAAGGCGGUGAGGUUAAUAACCUCAUCGAUUGACGUUACCCGCAGAAGAAGCACCGGCUAACUCCGUGCCAGCAGCCGCGGUAAUACGGAGGGUGCAAGCGUUAAUCGGAAUUACUGGGCGUAAAGCGCACGCAGGCGGUCUGUCAAGUCGGAUGUGAAAUCCCCGGGCUCAACCUGGGAACUGCAUUCGAAACUGGCAGGCUAGAGUCUUGUAGAGGGGGGUAGAAUUCCAGGUGUAGCGGUGAAAUGCGUAGAGAUCUGGAGGAAUACCGGUGGCGAAGGCGGCCCCCUGGACAAAGACUGACGCUCAGGUGCGAAAGCGUGGGGAGCAAACAGGAUUAGAUACCCUGGUAGUCCACGCUGUAAACGAUGUCGAUUUGGAGGUUGUGCCCUUGAGGCGUGGCUUCCGGAGCUAACGCGUUAAAUCGACCGCCUGGGGAGUACGGCCGCAAGGUUAAAACUCAAAUGAAUUGACUGGGGGCCCGCACAAGCGGUGGAGCAUGUGGUUUAAUUCGAUGCAACGCGAAGAACCUUACCUGGUCUUGACAUCCACAGAACUUAGCAGAGAUGCUUUGGUGCCUUCGGGAACUGUGAGACAGGUGCUGCAUGGCUGUCGUCAGCUCGUGUUGUGAAAUGUUGGGUUAAGUCCCGCAACGAGCGCAACCCUUAUCCUUUGUUGCCAGCGGUUAGGCCGGGAACUCAAAGGAGACUGCCAGUGAUAAACUGGAGGAAGGUGGGGAUGACGUCAAGUCAUCAUGGCCCUUACGACCAGGGCUACACACGUGCUACAAUGGCAUAUACAAAGAGAAGCGACCUCGCGAGAGCAAGCGGACCUCAUAAAGUAUGUCGUAGUCCGGAUUGGAGUCUGCAACUCGACUCCAUGAAGUCGGAAUCGCUAGUAAUCGUAGAUCAGAAUGCUACGGUGAAUACGUUCCCGGGCCUUGUACACACCGCCCGUCACACCAUGGGAGUGGGUUGCAAAAGAAGUAGGUAGCUUAACCUUCGGGAGGGCGCUUACCACUUUGUGAUUCAUGACUGGGGUGAAGUCGUAACAAGGUAACCGUAGGGGAACCUGCGGUUGGAUCACCUCCUUA